AGUGAACGCUGGCGGUAGGCCUAACACAUGCAAGUCGAACGGCAGCACAGUAAGAGCUUGCUCUUACGGGUGGCGAGUGGCGGACGGGUGAGGAAUACAUCGGAAUCUACUUUUUCGUGGGGGAUAACGUAGGGAAACUUACGCUAAUACCGCAUACGACCUACGGGUGAAAGCAGGGGAUCUUCGGACCUUGCGCGAUUGAAUGCGCCGAUGUCGGAUUAGCUAGUUGGCGGGGUAAAGGCCCACCAAGGCGACGAUCCGUAGCUGGUCUGAGAGGAUGAUGAGCCACUGUGGAACUGAGAGACGGCACAGAGUCUGACGGGAGGCAGCAGUGGGGAAUAUAGGCAAAUGGGGGGAAGACUGAUCAAGCCAUACCGCGUGGGUGAAGAAGGCCUUCGGGUUGUAAAGCCCUUUGUUGGGAAAGAAAAGCAGCAGGUUAAUACCCCGCUGUACUGACGGUACCCAAAGAAUAAGCACCGGCUAACUUCGUG
rnacentral:rRNA from 1 species